UGAGAGUGGCGCACGGGUGCGUAACGCGUGAGCAACCUACCUCUAUCAGGGGGAUAGCCUCUCGAAAGAGAGAUUAACACCGCAUAAUAUAGUGUACCGGCAUCGGGAUAUUAUUAAAUAUUUAUAGGAUAGAGAUGGGCUCGCGUGACAUUAUCUAGUUGGUAGGGUAACGGCUUACCAAGGCGACGAUGUCUAGGGGCUCUGAGAGGAGAAUCCCCCACACUGGUACUGAGACACGGACCAGACUCCUACGGGAGGCAGCAGUAAGGAAUAUUGGUCAAUGGGCGGAAGCCUGAACCAGCCAUGCCGCGUGCAGGAUGACUGCCCUAUGGGUUGUAAACUGCUUUUGUCCAGGAAUUAACCUAGAUACGUGUAUCUAGCUGAAUGUACUGGAAGAAUAAGGAUCGGCUAACUCCGUGCCAGCAGCCGCGGUAAUACGGAGGAUCCGAGCGUUAUCCGGAUUUAUUGGGUUUAAAGGGUGCGUAGGCGGCCUAUUAAGUCAGGGGUGAAAUACGGUGGCUCAACCAUCGCAGUGCCUUUGAUACUGAUGGGCUUGAAUCCAUUUGAAGUGGGCGGAAUAAGACAAGUAGCGGUGAAAUGCAUAGAUAUGUCUUAGAACUCCGAUUGCGAAGGCAGCUCACUAAGCUGGUAUUGACGCUGAUGCACGAAAGCGUGGGGAUCGAACAGGAUUAGAUACCCUGGUAGUCCACGCCCUAAACGAUGAUAACUCGAUGUUGGCGAUAGACAGCCAGCGUCUUAGCGAAAGCGUUAAGUUAUCCACCUGGGGAGUACGCCCGCAAGGGUGAAACUCAAAGGAAUUGACGGGGGCCCGCACAAGCGGAGGAGCAUGUGGUUUAAUUCGAUGAUACGCGAGGAACCUUACCCGGGCUUGAAAGUUAGUGAAGAGACCAGAGACGGUCUCGUCCUUCGGGACACGAAACUAGGUGCUGCAUGGCUGUCGUCAGCUCGUGCCGUGAGGUGUUGGGUUAAGUCCCGCAACGAGCGCAACCCCUAUGU
rnacentral:rRNA from 1 species